rnacentral:rRNA from 1 species
GAUCAUGGCUCAGGAUGAACGCUAGCUACAGGCUUAACACAUGCAAGUCGAGGGGCAGCAUUUCAGUUUGCUUGCAAACUGGAGAUGGCGACCGGCGCACGGGUGAGUAACNCGUAUCCAACCUGCCGAUAACUCGGGGAUAGCCUUUCGAAAGAAAGAUUAAUACCCGAUGGUAUAAUUAGACCGCAUGGUCUUGUUAUUAAGAAUUUCGGUAUCGAUGGGGAUGCGUUCCAUUAGG